rnacentral:rRNA from 1 species
UACGUAGGUGUCAAGCGUUGUCCGGAUUUAUUGGGCGUAAAGCGCCCGCAGGCGGCUUGCCAAGUUCGAUGUGAAAUCUCCCGGCUCAACUGGGAGGGUGCAUCGAAAACUGGCAGGCUUGAGGCAGGGAGAGGGAUGUGGAAUUCCAGGUGUAGCAGUGAAAUGCGUAGAUAUCAAGUGGAACACCAGUGGCGAAGGCGAGUCCCUGGACAACUCCUGACACUGAGGCACGAAAGCUAGGGGAGCAAACAGG